UACGAGGGGGGCAAGCGUUGUUCGGAAUUACUGGGCGUAAAGGGCUCGUAGGCGGCCAACUAAGUCAGACGUGAAAUCCCUCGGCUUAACCGGGGAACUGCGUCUGAUACUGGAUGGCUUGAGAUUGGGAGAGGGAUGCGGAGUUCCAGGUGUAGCGGUGAAAUGCGUAGAUAUCUGGAGGAACACCGGUGGCGAAGGCGGCAUCCUGGACCAACACUGACGCUGAGGAGCGAAAGCCAGGGGAGCAAAGCGGG
rnacentral:rRNA from 1 species